rnacentral:rRNA from 1 species
GACGUAGGGCGCGAGCGUUGUCCGGAUUUAUUGGGCGUAAAAGAGCUCGUAGGCGGCUUGUCGCGUCGACUGUGAAAAACUCAGGGCUCAACUCUGAGCUUGCAGUCGAUACGGGCAGGCUCGAGUUCGGGUAGGGGGAGACUGGAAUUCCUGGUGUAGCGGUGAAAAUGCGCAGAUAUCAGGAGGAACACCGGUGGCGAAAGGGCGGGGUCUCUGGGCAGUAACUGACGCUGGAGGAAGGCGAAAAGCGUGGGGGAGGCGAACAGGA